AUUGAACGCUGGCGGCAUGCCUUACACAUGCAAGUCGAACGGUAACAGGUCUUCGGAUGCCGACGAGUGGCGAACGGGUGAGUAAUACAUCGGAACGUGCCCGAGAGUGGGGGAUAACGAAGCGAAAGCUUUGCUAAUACCGCAUACGAUCUCAGGAUGAAAGCAGGGGACCGCAAGGCCUUGCGCUCACGGAGCGGCCGAUGGCAGAUUAGGUAGUUGGUGGGAUAAAAGCUUACCAAGCCGACGAUCCGUAGCUGGUCUGAGAGGACGACCAGCCACACUGGGACUGAGACACGGCCCAGACUCCUACGGGAGGCAGCAGUGGGGAAUUUUGGACAAUGGGCGCAAGCCUGAUCCAGCCAUGCCGCGUGCAGGAUGAAGGCCUUCGGGUUGUAAACUGCUUUUGUACGGAACGAAAAGACUCCUUCUAAUAAAGGGGGUCCAUGACGGUACCGUAAGAAUAAGCACCGGCUAACUUCGUGCCAGCCGCCGCGGUAACAC
rnacentral:rRNA from 1 species